GAGAAUGAAAGUGGAUGCCCGCGAAUCCCGGAAGUCAGACUGUUUUUUUCAGUUCCCUGGAGGCUUUUUGAUACUGAUUCGCGUACACCUGUUGUUUGAAAGCUCUCAGCGGGACAAUGCUGACCCAGAGACACGUCCUUGAUAUGUUUUCCAGUCUGGUCUUGAACUGGGAAAUGAUCCUCUCGCCUCGUCCCUGCAAAGCAUGAGCCAGCUGGAGUACAGUGGCGCGAUCUCGGCUCACUGCAACCUCCACCUCCUGAGUUCAAGCGAUUCUCCCACCUCAGCCCCCUGAGUAGCUGAAAGCAAAAUCAGAGGGGAAGCUUGCAAAACAGAUUUGCAAAGUUGUGUUGGAUCAUUUUGAAAAACAGUAUUCCAAAG
rnacentral:lncRNA from 10 species